UACAGCUUCAGAACUACAGAAGCUUCCACCGAGUCAUUUCCUCAGACCCUGCAUACUGGACCAGAGCAUAGACUUAUCCUUUUCUGGACCAGACUACUGAGUGUUUACAAGCUGCAGAAAUAAGGAUCAACUCUCUUCUUUCUACUGCCUGAGUUGUGGUCGGGGGCUUUUGCAUCCGUGCUACAUUGAGGUGGAGGCCCACUGGAUGCAUUCCUCAUAAACUGCACCUCAAGAAGGAGGCUGUCCUGUUCAGCCCAACAGAAGCCCAGCACACCCUGAGACAGUGACCAAACCUGACCAAGCUGGAACACACCAUAUGAGAAAAGGCCAAACCAGUACACGCCACCUCAGGAGGAAGAGCCAGCUGGUUCCAGUGAAUCAGAAAAUCUGAGGAACCAGAGACCAAGACUAAGGGAUCUGUUUGAUUUUUCCUCUUUGCAACAAAGCAGUGGGCAGAGGAGGGUCCUGCUUACCAUGUACUCACCUCAGAGCCUCCACCGCUGGGGUAUCACUCAUAGUGAGAGU